CCUACGGGAGGCAGCAGUAGGGAAUAUUGCUCAAUGGGGGAAACCCUGAAGCAGCAACGCCGCGUGGAGGAUGAAGGUUUUCGGAUUGUUAACUCCUUUUGUUAGAGAAGAUAAUGACGGUAUCUAACGAAUAAGCACCGGCUAACACCGUGCCAGCAGCCGCGGUAAUACGGAGGGUGCAAGCGUUACUCGGAAUCACUGGGCGUAAGGAGCGCGUAGGCGGGAUAGCAAGUCAGAUGUGAAAUCCUAUGGCUUAACCAUAGAACUGCAUGUGAAACUGUUAUUCUAGAGUAUGGGAGAGGUAGGUGGAAUUCGUGGUGUAGGGGUAAAAUCCGUAGAGAUCAAGAGGAAUACGCAUUGCGAAGGCGACCUGCUAGAACAUAACUGACGCUGAUGCGCGAAAGCGUGGGGAGCAAACAGGAUUAGAUACCCGAGUAGUC
rnacentral:rRNA from 1 species